rnacentral:rRNA from 1 species
GAUGAACGCUGGCGGCGUGCCUAAUACAUGCAAGUCGAGCGAACAGACGAGGAGCUUGCUCCUCUGACGUUAGCGGCGGACGGGUGAGUAACACGUGGAUAACCUACCUAUAAGACUGGGAUAACUUCGGGAAACCGGAGCUAAUACCGGAUAAUAUAUUGAACAGCAUGAUUCAAUAGUGAAAGACGGUUUUGCUGUCACUUAUAGAUGGAUCCGCGCCGCAUUAGCUAGUUGGUAAGGUAACGGCUUACCAAGGCAACGAUGCGUAGCCGACCUGAGAGGGUGAUCGGCCACACUGGAACUGAGACACGGUCCAGACUCCUACGGGAGGCAGCAGUAGGGAAUCUUCCGCAAUGGGCGAAAGCCUGACGGAGCAACGCCGCGUGAGUGAUGAAGGUCUUCGGAUCGUAAAACUCUGUUAUUAGGGAAGAACAAAUGUGUAAGUAACUAUGCACGUCUUGACGGUACCUAAUCAGAAAGCCACGGCUAACUACGUG